GGCUUCCCCCUCCUCCUCCCUUCACAAUUCCUCAUUUCUCAGUGCACAAACAGCAGCAGCAGCAGCAGCAGCACAACAACAACAAUCAAGUUUAAAGCUUUGAACUUCUCUUUAGUAAGUGAUGACAGGAAGCUGUACAUAAAGCUGCCAUGCCAUGUGAAGCUUCUGCUUUAAUCAGUCAUCGUGGCACUUUGUAUUCUGAAAUUGAAUCUGUUUACUUGUGGAUGUCAUUCGCAUUUGGAGAUUAGUUGGUAUUUCAUCUUGCUACCAAUUACUUGUUUAAUGCUUGCGUUGCAUUAGUAUUUUAGGGGAAAUGCACUUUCCUUUAGGGAAAUUUGUACUACUCUGCAAUUCGAGGGCAAUUGCAAACAUGAAAAGUGCAUAUAUUUCGUAGGCUGAUGAGUGCAGGUGCAGGCUUGGAUGCUCAUUUGUUGUUAAGUUGAAGGAUUUUCUAUGUAAAUUUGGUGUUCUUAUUUUAUUUU